UUGUCAAUUACGCCCUUUGACAUUGAUUUCGUAGGGUGAAAUUGCCCUGAUAAUUUAUAUAGACGUGAUAUGAGAUGCUAGUGGACAUAAGAGGGAGAGAAAAAAAAAAGAGUACGAAUGAAGGUUACGUCAGCGUUGAUGUUUAGUUUAGUUGUGUAGAAUAAGCGAACCGUGGUAUGGAACACGCGUAUUUCUAGAUACAUUUAACAUUAGGUUUAGUUCGUAUCGUGCUUGGUAUGGUCUCUACUCCUAUCCACUAAUACCAACCAACAGAGAAAUAUAAAGAGGGUUCUCGAUAGCCACCUGGCUGGCUCCUCUCUUUCCCCUUUGGUUUAUACUCUACCCCACUCAACUUAUUGCCAACUCUUGUCUCAUAUACAUACAAAUAUAUAUAUAUAGAUGUAUUUCUCCCUUUUACUUUAUGCUGAAUUGAUAUCAAGGGGUGGCGGUCGGACACGCAAAUAAACUUGACGAUAAAUCCUCCGAUAGCUCAUGAUUACGCAUAAAUAUUAUGGAUAUUAAUAAUAAUAAUAAAUAAAUAUAUAAAUUAUUUGGAGUGUGUGUUUGAAGUAUUAAUUAAAAUAGCUUGUAAUGUAUGAGAAAAUAAAAAUCCAAAUGUAUAAAAUAAAAAUGUGAGAGAGUAAAUCUAACGGAGUUUAUUUCAGCCAACGUUUUUGGCACCGUCUACGGCAAAUAGUAAACUACGAGCUAAAUAAAACGAAUUAUAAGUAAAAGAGAAAGCAGGAAAACUUAAGAGAGUCUAAGUGCUGUGGAGAAUCGCAAAGGAGAGAUGGAAUAAAAAAUAAAAAGUUAAGUAAAAUAAUUUCAUCUGCUAGAGCUUUUGCUGAUGUGUCUUCUCCGUCUUACCGUCGAGUCCGUCAGCCUAUUUAUAUCGUUAAGAAGGGCGGCUUAAUGACUCUCAAGAACUGUCACAACGAGUGAGAUACGAUCCUGGGGUGUCAUCAGUACAUUCAAUAAAUACACUCAAGACAUUUAAAUAUUUUUUUAUCGAAAAAUUUACUUUUAACUUCCGAUAUUUACGUCAAAUUAAUUUAUCAGAUUGAAAUUUUUUUGAGUUAUUUUUAACGAUCGUAAUUACGCGUAAUCGAUUCUCAAAAAAAUAUCCAUAUUACCGUGACACGGCUAAGAUAAGAUAAAGAUAUCAAUAGAGCGAUCAGUUUUAAAAAUAAUUAGAGAAAAUGCAUGCAUUAAUAGAAAAAUAAAAAAAAAGAUCUAGCUUGUUUUGUUAGCCAGGUUUUAUCAGAUUGAAUAUAAUAAGGAUUAUAUAUUUAUUAAAAAUAAUAAAUCCCUAAGUGCAAGAGACAGUUGUCAAAGAUUUAAUGCUAACCCACAGAUCAUUUGCAGUUAUUUAUCUGCUGCACAUUCAAUGUUAUAUCUGAGUGUAUGUCAAUUGUUGGAGCCAGAACUGACGAUAACGGCUGAUCGAAUUUAUGUAACGCUUAUAUAUACAUAUAUAUGUGUACAUGUAUACAUGCCAGUCAACGGGGAAUUAUUUUUUGAUCAAGUGUCAAGAUAACGGACGAGAAAUUGUCCAAUCAAUUUUUUAAAUCUUAUUUGUAUGCAAAUAAAAUUUUUAUUUUGUAAUUUGACGGCACAAUUGGACUUUAAAAUGCGUAAUUUAUAUCGU